rnacentral:misc_RNA from 1 species
GAAAUGCGAUAAGUAAUGUGAAUUGCAGAAUUCCGUGAAUCAUCGAAUCUUUGAACGCACAUUGCGCCCGCCAGUACUCUGGCGGGCAUGCCUGUUCGAGCGUCAUUUCGACCAUCGAGCCCCCGGGCUCGCGUUGGGGAUCUGCGGCCGCGCGCAGGCCCCGAAAACCAGUGGCGGGCUCGCCGUCACCCCGAGCGUAGUAGCGGCCGUUUCUCGCUCCGGGGCGUGGCGCGGGACCCGGCCGUUAAAGGGCGCGGGAGCACGCUGAUCAGGCGUGCCCAACCCCAAGAUUGACCUCGGAUCAGGUAGGGAUACCCGCUGAACUUAA